AGCGAACGCUGGCGGCAGGCUUAACACAUGCAAGUCGAGCGGGCCCUUCGGGGUCAGCGGCAGACGGGUGAGUAACGCGUGGGAACGUGCCCUUCGGUUCGGAAUAACUCAGGGAAACUUGAGCUAAUACCGGAUACGCCCUUAUGGGGAAAGGCUUGCUGCCGAAGGAUCGGCCCGCGUCUGUUUAGCUCGUUGGUGAGGUUAUGGCUCACCAAGGCGACGAUCAGUAGCUGGUCUGGGAGGAUGAUCAGCCACACUGGGACUGAGACACGGCCCAGACUCCUACGGGAGGCAGCAGUGGGGAACAUUGGACAAUGGGGGCAACCCUGAUCCAGCCAUGCCGCGUGAGUGAUGACGGCCUUAGGGUUGUAAAGCUCUUUUCUCCGGGACGAUAAUGACGGUACCGGAGGAAUAAGCCCCGGCUAACUUCGUGCCAGCAGCCGCCGUAA
rnacentral:rRNA from 1 species